GUGGAUUAGAUACCCUGGUAGUCCGCGCUGUAAACGAUGAGUGCUAGACGGUGGAGGUAUUGACCCCUUCGCUGCCGAAGCUAACGCGUUAAGCACUCCGCCUGGGGAGUACGGUCGCAAGACUAAAACUCAAAGGAAUUGACGGGGGCCCGCACAAGCGGUGGAGCAUGUGGUUUAAUUCGACGCAACGCGCAAAACCUUACCUGGGUUAAAUCCGCCGGAAGCUGGCUGAAAGGCUGGUGUGCCCUUCGGGGAAUCGGUGAGAAGGUGCUGCAUGGUUGUCGCCAGCU
rnacentral:rRNA from 1 species